rnacentral:lncRNA from 1 species
CGGUGAUGGAAAAGUUCUUGAAUUAAAUAGUGGUGAUCGUUACACAACCUUGUGAAUAUACUAAAAACAACUGACUUGUAUACUUUAUGGUAUGUGAAUUAUAUCUCAAUUAAAAAAAAAAAGCUUAGUGUUACCAUUUACUGAAUACUUUAUGUGCCCCAUACUCAAGACAAGCCAGUGAGUACAUCUCUUAUCCCCACUUAGCAAAACAGGUUCAGGGAGAUUAAGUGCUUUGCCCAAGGUCACAUACUAGGAAGUCAUAGAGCUGAGACACACAAAGCCCUAACAUUCACUUAGCCACCAAGCUGUAUUGAUCAAAAGUUUUUAAUAGUUUCCAUUACAUAUCUAAUAAUACUCAAUAAAAUAGAAAUAUUUAUUGUGUGUAUAUAAACAAUACAUUAAUAUGUAUGCCAUAUAUAUAUAUAUGUAUAUCUCCUACAAAUUGAUGAAAAAAAUUCAAUAGAAAAAUGGGCAAAGAAUAUGAUCAAGUAAUUCACACAUACAAAAAAUACAAAUGGUAAUUAAUAAAUAUUUGAAAAGGUAUAUGGCCAGGCAUGGUGGCUUACGCCUGUAAUCCCAGCACUUUGGGAGGCUAAGGCAUGAGGAUCACAUGAGCCCAGGAGUUUGAGAACAGCCUAGGCAACAUAGCAAGACCCCCCCGCCCAAUUUAAAAAGUUUAAAAAAAAAAAAAAGGAUGUAUGAAUUCACUAGUAAUCAGAGAAAUGCAAAUUAACACAAGACAAUUGUUGGUUCAUUAUAAAGACAAAAUUUAAAGAUGUCUAAUAUUCAGCCACAGAGAGUGAAAGGAACUUGGUACUCAUACAUUGUUGGUGUGCAUUAAGAGUAAUAGCCACUUAAUAUUACCUAUCAGAAUUUAAAAUUUACUGAGUGCAGUGGUGCGUGCCUGUAGUCCCUGCUAUUCAGGAGGCUGAGGUGGAAGGAUCGCUCAAGUCUAGGAAUUCUGACCUGUAGUGCACUAUGCUGAUCUGGUGUCCACACUAAGUUUGGCAUUAAUGUGGUGACCUCCGGGAGCAGGGGACCACCAGGUUACCUAAGGAAGGGUGAGCCAGCCCAGGUCAGAAAUGAAGCAGGUCAGAACUCCCAUGCUGAUGAGUAGUGGGAUCAUACCUGUGAAUAGACACUGCACUCCAGCCUGGGCAACACAGUGAGACCUUGUCUCUUAAAAAAAAAAAAAAUUGAAAAUUUACCAUUUGAUCAAGUAACUUCACUGAUAGGAAAUACUUUCAUGUGUAAGGAUGUUCAUUGCUUGUUUUAAUAGUGAAAAAAUAGAUAUAAACCAAAUGUCUACCUAUGUCUACAUAAUUUCAUGUAAAUUCUCAGAAAAAUAUUACCAGGAGUUAUUUUGGGGGAAAGCAGUGAAACUGGAGCUGGUGUUGGGGAGCAUGAGUAAAGGGCUAGCAAAACUGUUUCCCUUUCUGCAUGAGAACUCGACCUUUGGUGGCCAGUAAGGAUCUUGCUGUGGGAACCUAAGCAGUGCUGCUAGGUAGACUGCUGCAGGGAGUCCUGGAAGGACAUGCCCAUGGCCCGAUGGCAAUCUAUGCUUCCUUUGGAGUAUCCGCUGAAGUAUCUGAGUGUGGUCUAGAUUGUGAGUUCAUGUUUAGUUGAACCUAAAAAGACCUCCUGUUGGGCAGAGCUGGAAAUUAAAAGUAAAUUUGUAAGUUAAAAAUUAGUUCAUAUACACCAUCCAUUUCAGCCAGUAGGAUCUUCAUGCUGUUCCUUAAAUGUACUCUGAGGUUUCUUGUCUCUCACACGUUCUACUUUCUUUUGUUAAAGUAUUUCCUUCCUUCCAGGCUGAAAUUGCCUGCCAGCAAGUAAGCUCACCCUCCUCUAAACUACCUUAGCAUCUUGCUUGCCUCUGUUUCACGGUGUUCAGCUCACCUAGAAAGGGAAAACUGGAAUGGGUGAUCUCCCAGAUGCAGCUGUGAACCUAGGAUUUUAACCCUAGAUUUGUAUUCCCAUUCUUCAGACGGUAAGCUUUUUGGUGAAAGAGGAGGCGUUAGUCUUGUUUAUCUUGGUAAGUGUGUGUAAAGCCCUUGGUAAGCCUCUCAUCUGGGAAGUGCUCCAUGGCAUUUUACUGUUCCCUGCCAAUUAACUUCCAGGGCCCGUCCUGGAACUAUUCCACACCAGGGCCUAAGUCUAGUUACAGAUCUUGGCUUUUCCUCUCUCUAUUCUAGCCUGUCUCAAUGCCAGGCACAGAGUCUGGUCCAGUUGUGUUCCAAGAUAUCACAAAUAAAUACAUAGCUCACUACAUGUCAAAAGUGAAAACCCCUAGAUUUGGCCUAAAAUGGGGCCAUUCGUUGUGGGCCUAAUUAUGCUAGGGUUGUUCCUAUACCUAAAAUUUUAGGAGGUUAGACAAAUAUAUAGUAUGCUUUUUGUUGAGGUUUGGUGACCAUAACUAAGCUAUUUUUGUAUCUCCAAAGAGCAACCUAAAGUCCCAGGACUGCUCUGUCCAGUCUUCUAGAGUUGGGAUCCACAAACUUUUUCUGAAAAGGGCCAGAUAGUAAGCAUUUUAUGGUCUCUGUCGUAGAUCCUAAACUCUGCUAUUGUAGCACAAAGGCAGUCAGACAUAGAUGAGUGCUGAGUUCCAAUAAAAUUUAUUUAUAGACACUGAAAUUUUGAAUGCCAUAUAAUGCCAUGUAUCACAAAAUAUUUUCCUUCCUUUGCUAUUUUUCUUUCUUUCUUUUCUUUUUUUUUUUUUUUUUUGAGAUGGAGUCUUGCUUUGUCACCCAGGUUGGAGUGCAGUGGUGCAGUCUUGGCUCACUGCAACCUCCAUCUCCUGGGCUCAUGCAAUUCUGCCUCAGCCUCCUGAGUAGCUGGGAUUACAGGCAUGUGCCACCACGCCUGGCUAAUUUUUGUAUUUUU